rnacentral:rRNA from 1 species
AGUCGAACGAGGUGCUUGCCACCCUAGUGGCGAACGGGUGAGUAACACGUAGGUAACCUGCCCUUUAGUUUGGGAUACCCAGAGGAAACUUUGGCUAAUACCGGAUAUGAAUUCGAGAGGCAUCUCUUGAAUUUGAAAGGAGCGUUUGCUCCGCUUUAGGAUGGACCUGCGGCGCAUUAGCUAGUUGGUGAGAUAACAGCCCACCAAGGCGAGGAUGCGUAUCCGAUCUGAGAGGAUGACCGGACACAUUGGAACUGAGACACGGUCCAAACUCCUACGGGAGGCAGCAGUAAGGAGUUUUCGGCAAUGGGGGAAACCCUGACCGAGCAACGCCGCGUGAGUGAUGACGGCCCUAUGGGUUGUAAAGCUCUGUUGUAAGGGACGAAUGACGAGGUUAGGAAAUGAGCUUCGUUUGACGGUACCUUACCAGAAAGCCACGGCUAACUACGUGCCAGCAGCCGCGGUAAUACGUAGGUGGCAAGCGUUAUCCGGAAUUAUUGGGCGUAAAGAGUGAGCAGGCGGCAGUUUAAGUCUGAGGUUAAAGCGUGGGGCUCAACCCCAUAAAGCCUUGGAAACUGAACAGCUAGAGUACGAGAGAAGUAAGCGGAAUUCCAUGUGUAGCGGUGAAAUGCGUAGAUAUAUGGAGGAACACCAGUGGCGAAGGCGGCUUACUAACUCGAAACUGACGCUCAGUCACGAAAGCGUGGGUAGCAAAUAGGAUUAGAUACCCUAGUAGUCCACGCUGUAAACGAUGAUAACUAAAUAUUGCCGCGAGGCAGUGUUGAAGCUAACGCAUUAAGUUAUCCGCCUGGGGAGUACGGUCGCAAGACUGAAACUUAAAGGAAUUGACGGGGGCCCGCACAAGCAGUGGAGCAUGUGGUUUAAUUCGACGCAACGCGAAGAACCUUACCAAGAUUUGACAUGGAGGCUAGAUAUGCUGUAAUGGCAAAAAAGUGUGCCUUCACAGGUGGUGCAUGGUUGUCGUCAGCUCGUGUCGUGAGAUGUUGGGUUAAGUCCCGCAACGAGCGCAACCCCUCUCCUUAGUUGCUAAUUAUAGAACUCUAAGGAUACUGCCGAUGUAAGUCGGAGGAAGGUGGGGAUGACGUCAAAUCAUCAUGCCCUUUAUAUCUUGGGCGACACACGUGCUACAAUGGCCGGUACAAAGAGCUGCAACACCGCGAGGUGAAGCGAAUCUCGGAAAGCCGGUCUCAGUUCGGAUUGAAGUCUGCAACUCGACUUCAUGAGCUGGAAUUGCUAGUAAUCGCAGAUCAGCCAUGCUGCGGUGAAUACGUUCCCGGGCCUUGUACACACCGCCCGUCAAACCAUGAGAGCUGGUAAUACUCGAAGU